UAAUAAAAUAAAUAAAAAAAUAAUAUAAAAUUUUGAUUAAUAACUAAAUUUAAAUAAUAAGUACUGAAAAGGAUUUAGUUAAAGUAUAACAAAGUAUUCUCAAUGAAGUACCUUUUGCAUCAUGGUCUAUGGAAAAAAAAAUAGAUAAAUUAUUCCCGAAUUAAAGUGAUCUAUAAAAAAAUGAAAAUUACUGUUUCAAAAUUAAUUAAUAUCUUUUUAUAGAAGUUAAAUGCAAAUCGAACUUUAAGAUAUCUGGUUUUCUAAGAAAUGAAUUUAAUUCAGUUAAAGCAAUAAAAUUUUAAAUAUUUAAAACGUUUAAAAUUUAACUUUUAGUAAAUUAAUGGGGGAUAAGCUCCAUUAAAGUUUCUUACAUACUUUCAUAUAAAUUAGAUUUGUAAAAUAUUAUAAAUAUUAACAUUAUAUUUAGUAAAUCUAUUUUAUUUAGUAUAAAAUUUAUUAAAUCUAUUAAGAGGUUAUUAGAAAAUUAAAUACAUUUUUAAAAUUCAAAUAAUAAUCAUAGAAUGAGUAUUAAGUACAUACUUGUAUAAGGAAUUCAGCAAUUAAUAAGUUCGCCGGUUUAACAAAAACUUGUCCUUAAGAAAAUAAUUUAAGGUACAAUCUGCUCACUGAAUAUUUUAAAGAGCCGCAGUAGCCUGACUGUGCUAAGGUAGCAUAAUAAAUUGCAUUUUAAUUGGAUGAUAGAAUGAAGGAUUAAACGGACUUAAACUGUCUCAUACAAGAUAUAAUAAAUUAACUUUUAAGUUAAAAGGCUUAAAUAAAAAUAGGGGACGAGAAGACCCUGUAGAGCUUAAUUAGUUAAAAAAUAAACAAAAAACAAAUUAUUUAUUUUAACUAGUUUGAUUGGGGGUAUCGAGCAAUAAAAGAAAUUUGCUUUAAAUUUAAUUUAAAUAUAAAAAUUACAAAAGCUUUCAGAUGGAAAAAAAAGAAAAGCUUCCUCAGGGAUAACAGCAUAAUAUCAAUCUCAAGAACUUAUUGAGACUGAUGCUUGUGACCUCGAUGUUGAAUUAAGAUAACCUAUUAGAGAAGAAAAUUUAAAGGUUAGUCUGUUCGACUAUUAAAAUCUUACAUGAUUUGAGUUCAGACCGACGUAAGUCAGGUCAGUUUCUAUCUCUAUUUUUAACUUUAAUCUUUGUACGAAAGGAUCAGAUUAAAUUUUU
rnacentral:rRNA from 1 species